GAGCGGGCCGGGCAGCCGCGUGCCUUUUGGCAUGAGGAAAGUCCGAGCUUCACAGGGCGGGAUAACGGCUAACGGCCGCCGGGGGUGACCCUAGGGAAAGUGCAACAGAGAGAUACCGCCGCGCCUGGCGCGGUAAGGGUGGAAAGGCGAGGUAAGAGCUCACCGGCGCAUGGGAGACCAUGCGGCCCUGCAAACCCUAUCCGAAGCAACGCCGACCGAAGCGAUACAUUGGCCCGAUGUGCUUCAACGGGCGGCUAGAGCCGCAUGGCAACAUGCGGUCGAGAUAGAUGGCUGUCCAAGACAGAACUCGGCUUACAGGCCCGCUCAUC
rnacentral:RNase_P_RNA from 1 species